GAGCCGCUAUUACGCGCUUCUGCACUUGCAUAACAGUGAUGAUGAUCACAGCUGUGUAAGGUCUGCUGCUUCUUGGGAUGAAAACCAACAGGUUUACGGUGGAAGAAACAAGGUUACGGGAGGUUAUUCUUUAUGUUUUUUCUAAAAAUGGUCAGAUUGCUGUUAUGUUUCAUCCAUAUGCUCUAUCGCGGACUUCAGGGAUAUAAUGUCUUUGUUUUGACUUUACAACGGCCUCCGUACUCCCAAACAUUUUCGUAGAGAGGUGUAAGCUUUGGGAAUCCUACCUAUGGAACUUCUAUCUUAUUGUCGCUGACAUCCAGUGUAACUCUAUGUUACUACAUCAACAACACUGCAGAUUAUUCUCCGGAGUACCAUGAAGUUACUCCCGAUGCAGACAUUUUGUCCGAGUGCAGUCUAAAUGGUAUGCGUCGCAAUGAUCCCACCAAUGCUAAGUCUGAAGCUCUCAUGGUUCAGUUUGAAAACAUGCUGGCAAAGUAUCAAGACCAACAUCUAUAUGACUAUCAGAUUGCUAAGACAAUAAUGACCAAUCCAACAAGAGCUGAUGAGGAUGACGUGCUGAACUCGGUUUUUGUCGACACUGUGGGAUAUGGAACAGUUUGCACUUCUUCCAUCAUGGUGAAGGACUUUAUAGUGAAAUUGAAUAUGUGGCGUUUGAGUUUUUGUGAAAGGUACAGGGAGGAAAAUGGGAAUUGGUCAGAGCAUCAUGAAAAUUUCUGUAUCGCUAAUGACUACAUACCCACUUGGCAGAGGAAAAUGUUGGAGGAGGAGAAAAAAAUGAAGGAAGCAGCCGAAGCAUCAACAAAGGCAGCUGAGUAUGUAGCAUCAGCAUCUACAUAAGAGGCCGUUCCACAGGAGAUGUCGGUGAAUCUUGUUGCAGGGAAUCCAAUGGAUGCUCCACAACAGUCCUAGUCCUUAUCCUAGAAGUCCUAAGAAUAAAUAUGUGUUUCUUAACCAAAAUCCGUAGGACGGUUUACGCUUGGUUCGCAAGGAAAAAUAAAUGUCAAGUUUACGCGGAUAAAUACGAAGUUUUGGAAGAUGCUUACGAAGAUCGGGAAAAAUAGAAUAUCUCCAUUUUUAGGCUAUGACGGUUUAAGGGCAGAAGGGGAAAAGCGUAAACCGAACUAGGAGCGAGUAUAUAAGGAGUCCUAGGCGAGAGGCAUGGAGAAAACUUUUUUCAGAGAAAACUUAGCACUUAGAGCAACUAGGCAUGGAGAAAACUUUCUCUUUGUUCUCUUUUUAUGAUUUCUUAUACUUUAUCGUUGUUAUCUCGUGUUAUGAUUGCUUGGCGUGUGGUAUUAGGAGAUAUCCGGGACCUCUGGAAAACGAGGGUUCUCCUACUUUCCUAAUUUAAACGGAAAUCGACAUUGCGAAUUUCAGUUUCCACAGCCUUGAUAUGGAGAGGUGAGAGAUGUCUCGCCACGUGGACACUGCCAUCCCUUCUGCCUUCUUGUUCGGCCGGUUCUGGUAUCUGCCCUGGCUUCUGUUCCCGGAAUCCCUGGCUUGUCUUGGAGAAUGUUUCUCGUCUCGCUCGGUUAGAUCCGUUCUGACCGCCUUGGGGUCUUGCUUUAUCUGCGCCUUAGAGCGACUGGCAACAUCUUCUUACCAUUUUCCCCGCAGGGGAGUAAGCCUCUCUUGAAGGCAUAGAUUGCAGUGGGGAUGGUGCAUUCGGGAAUGGCCAACUUCUCUUGAUUGAAGCAGGCUAUGUAGCCUCGCAGGGGUUCCGCCCGAUGCUGGAGGAUUUCGUAUAGACCAACAGAGGUUUUCUCCAGGUCUCUGCUGCUGGCGAAUUGUUCCACAAAAUUAUCGCUGAGGAUAGCGAACGAGGCUAUGGACCUUUUUGGGGUCAAAAUCGGUCACGACAGAAUCAAUUUCCGAAAAUUCUCGGAAAAUAUUUCUCGCAAUAAAAAUUUCGUAUAAUUUUUAUUUAACAGGUUAUACGACGAGUUCUUGAUAUUUUUUAUCGACAAUAAGAAGCAAACAUUUAACUGUUGGGGUCAAAAUCAGUUAUCUCGAAAUAAACGUCCAAAAAUUGUGUUUCUGUACGAACGUUUCUUGACACACUCUCAACAAAGGUUCCUGAGCAAAAUACUCGAGAGAAAUGGAAUACGAAACCAAACACGCAGUCCAACUCGUUCGUUCAGACCUUUUGAGGUGCAGAACUGCACAGACGCGUCAUAGUUUUAGCUAUGGAGGAAGACCUUCCCAUGGCUUGAUUGAGCCCGUUUUUGGAUAUAAGAUAGAGCUUUGAGUUAGCUUUCCAAUGCCACCGGUCUGAGGUCAAUCAGCAUCUUGUAGCAUAUGUUAUGCCCGUUUUAUUGAAGGGUGAACGGAGCACACUGUCCAGCUUGGCCAUCAACAACACGACCAGCUCUGUCAUCUGCCGAGGUGAACCAGUCCAACUCGGCGGAUGGCCGAGCUUGAUCGAAAACGCGACCAGCUCGCAAUCUGCCGAGCUAGACUAGUACAGUUCGGCGGAUGGCCGAUCUGGAUCGAACAUGCGACCAGCUCGGCCAUCCGAAGAGCUUGAACGAACACGCGACCAGCUCGUAAUCCGCCGAGCUAGACUAGUACAGUUUGGCGGAUGGCCGUUCUGGAACGAUCGUCCUGUCUUCUUCCCAUCCUCGCAGCUCCCCCUUUAAGGAUUAGAACGAACCUGCUCUUGUUUCAUCUCGAUCGGAGUCACCGUUGGCACUUUACGAUUUAAAAACCGCAAGAACUCUUUCUCUCGAAUAACAUUCGUAUCGAUCAUAUAAAACGACAACGGUAAGCUGAACACCUCGAAUUGCCUACGCUAUACGAGGAAUUUGAAUGUUCUUCGAAAUCGACAUCGUUUCAAAAGCGCUCUUUUUAUAAAAUCGUAAAAACGCCUAAGUCGGAAGACGGCCCGAAAUGGCCCAGAACGGGGAUAAGAGCCCACUUACGAUUUUAUACGAAAUCAAGCCCAAUCGUUAUGACGGUUUAUCUUUUGUGAUGCAGGAGAAGAUAAAUGUCAAGGUCAGAGGAUAAAUGUGAAGUUUCCAAAGAUAAACACAAAGAUCGAAGGAAAAAGGAAUAUUACCGCGAAGCGAUAAACUUGACCAAGGGCAGAAAUGGAAAGAGAAAACCGCCUCUAGGAAGAGUAUAUAAGGACGUCGUGGUUGAAGAGGCAAGGGGACAAUUCUUUUAGACUUAGAACUCUCUGCAUUUAGAAACUUUUAGGCAUUAUUCUCGACAUUUUUUGUUUCUAUGACUGGCACCUGAUUACUAGACGAACUUGCCUAGGCAGUUCGAUCUAUUGUUCUACUCCUUCAAUCGAACUACAUUCGACUGAUCCUCGAAAGGGGUACAUAGGCAGCCUUUCAUAAAGUUCAGGCCGAAAUCAAAUCAAAACCUUUUUCAUAUCUUUUUUGUUUGUUGUUCUCGAGCUGCGACUCUUUCGGCCGAAGCUUUUGUAAUCUUUUGUAAUGAUCGCAACGCUCUUACGCGGAUUCGAAAUAAGAUCAACUCUUUCUAAACUCGCUUUAUUGUCUUUACAUAUUUGCUACAUUUAUUUGGUUACUUGUCAUUGGCUCUCGCAGAGAAUCCGGUACCUUCGGAAAGUUAGGGUUUCCUAAUUUAAACGAAAAUCGACGGUGUGAGUUUUGGUUUCCAUAGUUUGGCGAUAAAAGGAGGGGCGGGGUAUGGAUUACUCUAACUCAUAGCCGCAAAACGCUUGAUCAAAACAAUGUCAGGAAAUACGAAAGACAAAAUCGCAGUUCGCAACAACGCUGGUAAGACAACUCCAGCCGCCAUUGCGCCUAUGGCCAACGCUUACACAAACACCACAGUUCUUGAGAAAUUCGAAAAUCUAGCCGUGACUUUUCGCCACAGGAAGUGCAAUGAAACGAGCUCGCGAUUUCUCUGUCUAAAUGAUAUACCAUGGAUUUCACCCAUUUUUAGUCAUGGUAUAAAAGUGUAUUAAGAUAUAUUUAUCAUGUUUUAGAGUCUUUUCAAAGCAAUUACAGGUUCAGUUACUUGAUAGAAGGAAAUGUUGCUUUUGGGACACUUUGGAGUGCUUUUACGUGUAGAGCACCAAUCGACGCUUGAAGAGCAAUGUCGAUCGACCGAAGCCAAUUAAAAUCGAUCGACAGCCGUUUAGAGUCAUCGAUCGAUGUUGGAUCACCUGAGGACUAAUCACGAAAUUAGAAGAUUUCAUUUCCAUAAAGUUUAUUAAUUGCAACCUAAGCCCUUAGCCGCCUCGCCUGUGAGGCUAUAUGUACUAGGGGUUUGUAUCAUUUUAGAGGUAGACUGGCCUAACAACCUAGUUUGAAGAAGAAGUAUUUUGGCUACCAUUAUAAGAGCUUAGGAUUGGAGAGAUAGAUUUGAGACUGCAUAACAGAGAAGAUCUUGAACUCCCUUAUUUCUAUUACUCUUACUUUCUGUGUUCAAUAUUUCAUUUGAGUUUUAGUCAAACCAUCAUGACUUUGUCUCUCAUGAAUAUGUCUGAGUAAACCCAAUUGUUAGACUUAAGUUUCUGAUAAACAUUGAAAGUAUGUGCUGCUAAUAAGACUGUUAAAAAGGUGUUUUGAUUAUUCUUUCAUGCUUGUUGAGCUUAGUGCUAAAAUUAGGAUUGAUCACCCUCAUUUUAGAUCUUAGGAUUAAUAGAGAUAACCAACCGUUACCCUCAAUACCUGAAAUAUCCAGUGUGAUCUAACUGACUAGAUAACAACGAGAUUUGGUCUAGAAGGUUAGAGAACAGCUUAAAACCCUCUCGUAAAGCUUGUUAGAAGAACCGUCGAUCGACGCUACUAUCGUUGUGUCGAUAAAUUGUUUGAAAGGUGUAUCAAACGAUGUGCAUAAAGUCACAUCGAUCGACUCUUUCUUGAGAUCAAAAGACGGAAGUUGAGAUCCGAGAUCUAGUAAAGAAAACCUAUAUGGUUUUACCAUUGUUUGAGUUCAAAAACUGUCAAACCCUUUAGCCUGAACUAAAUUGCAUGCUUUUCAUACCUGAGAAUUUGCCUAAGUCUAGCUGUUUUUCCAUCCUUAAAACAACUUCAACUUAUACCGUCGAACAAUUACCUUGUUCGACUCAUCAUUUACUGCUUUUAAACAAAUAAACCUCUUAGUCUAUGUUUAUUUCUAAUCCCUGAGAUCUAUUGAGUAAUCCUAGAGUCCUUGUGGAUUCGAUCCCUAAGUACUACAUCUGAACUUCUUAUUUGAGAGAGUAAUUCACUCCUUAGGGUAAUUUAAGUGAUAUCAAAUUUGGCACCAUUGUCGGGGACUCUUUCUUAUUACCAUUAGAUUUAAUUUAGAAUUUAGUAUAGACUUGUUACGAAAAACAUGCUAAGUUUUCUUUCUUUCCCUGUCUACGCAGACACUAAGAAUGGAGAACAUAGAACUCGGCCGAGCAUCGAUCGACAAAGAUGCAAUGUUAUCGAGCGACGUGGAGACCGAAGAAUUGACUGACACGGAGUUCCUGACAUCGAUCGACACCGCCCAGUCGGAAGCAGGUAAGUCUUCUCUUACGGAGCUUAUUAAUGAGGAAGUAGUCCAAACUGAACCAAUAGGUCAAUUGAGCAAUGAGGCUAGCCAAACUAAACAGGGGAUUGAAAUCCCUGUUGAGAUAAACCCCACCUUGAUAAAAGGUGAAGAGAUAAAAUUGCCUUUGCAAGACUACCUAGUUUUAGGGGAUUUUUGUGUAGGCUCUUUGUGAGUACUACGGAACGAUGGACAAGCUAGUAAACCAAGGGUAUUUGUAUGUAUUUCGUGAGGAUUUAGAGAGGAUAAUAAAGAGAUAGGGUUGAAGAGACUUUUAUUAGAUAGAACAAGCACGAAAAAGCGAGGUUACAAGGUAUUGAGUAAGAACCCUAAUUCUAGCCGUCUAGUCCUAGUCUCUAAGCCUUGGAGAAGUCGAUCCCUUGCUUUAGGGUUUUAGUAGGUCUUAUAUAGUCGUCUAGGAAUCGGUUCCAUUAAGUUAAACGCUUCCAUAUACGGAAAUAUGGAAGGUUCUCCUUAUCGGAAGUUUUACAUUUCUUGGAAGGGAGCUCGGUUCCAGGGACCGAACUCGGGGUUCCUUCAAGCAGGGACCUGGAGCAUUCCCUUAUCGGGGACCCGAGGGUCUGGGUCCUGCCUGGAGGCUGGAGGAAAUGAUACCGGGAUAUUUUUCCCCAACAGUUUCCCCCUUAUUUCUCGAUUUCGUCAUCGAAGUCGGGGAAUAACUUGUGUACUCAAAUCAACCGGGUUGCUCAUUCUCAGCAGGAUCCCCUUAGGCAGGACCCCGUUCCAUUGGUCUUGCUAGCCUGGGUUCCACUCAAGCCGGAACUCAUUCUGAACCCAGGUGAGGACCGGUUCCUUCGUGUUUGACCUGAGUCUAGUAGUAGUUUAUCUUAUCUUCUGGAGAUGACGAGGCUGGAGGUCUGAAAUUUGAACCACGCACGGGCUAGAGAGAGUUAUUGCUGGGGUGAUUCUGGGGCCUUUGAGACUAAGAUCCGUCGAUUUGAGGAGAAAGGUGUAGCCAUUGCUUCCCUUGGCACCUUUCCUUUUUCCAGGCCGGCUGUUUUUUUAAUAAAGGAUUUUUCCGAAGAUUUGGAAUUAUCUGAUUUCCUUUUCUCUGGCUCCAAAAAUGAAAUAAUCAGGCAUAUAUUUAGGGUGCCCGAUGCGUAGAAUUUCGUUCAUCCCUUAUUUAAGAAGAUGAACUCUGAUCUUCCUGCUUCACUCGUGGGUGGCCGCAUAAGGCCUUGCCGCCUGUUUGCUGAUCCUUUCUCCUCCCAUGUCGCUUCUUUCGGAGAAGUUUCUGAAACUGAUAGCGAGGCGAUCCCAAUGGCACCUUUGAAGCAACGUGGUUCCCUCGUUAUCGACGAUGGCCCGUGUUCUGGAAUUCAGGAGGGAGUUCUGAAGGUGAUACAGAGAAAGUCCGGGAUCCACUCUUCGGUGCAGAUGAGGAGUUCCUUGGAGUUUGAGCGCGCUCCUGAUGGGGGGCCAGGCGAGAUAGCUAUUUUUGAGGCGUAUCUGAUAGCAGGUUUCCGAGGGAUCGUCCCUUCGCUCGUGGCUGAAGUAUCAUCGUUUUUGGGUUUCUGUCCUUAUCAACUCACUCCUUUAUCAUGGAAGACUUUAAUGUCGAUCCAAGUACUCGGGGAGCUUUAUGACCUUGAUACCGGGGUAUACGAAGUUCUAUACUCCUAAUACUUUGCCCCUUUGACAAUCAUGCAUGGGUUCUACCACCUUCAGCCUCGUGACGGCGCUCCCUUGGUUGAAGAGCCUUCGAGAGGCACCCGGGGUAAUUACCCCUUUGGGGACAAUUGGACCAGUCGGUACGUGUUUAUGAAGAUCCAGGAACCCUUCCAUUAUCCUACAUUUUGGCGUACUGUUGGUAAGUCAUGCUUCUGGCGCAUUUUCCUUCUUUGAUUGUUGGUAUGCUGACAACUGGUUCUGUUUUUAGAUGUCUCUCGUCCGGUAUCCUUUCUUGGGGAAGCAGUAGCAAAAAAGAUGUUAGCGAUCCCUCGACGUUUCCGUGGAGUACAUUUCCUGAUGAGUAAGAAGGUCAUGCGUCAUCGUCGUCUUUGGGGUAAAUUUCUGCUUCUUGGUCCCUUCUUAAUAGAAUCUUGUCUUGGUAGGGUCUCAUCUCUACACUUUUUACUUUUCAGGGAAUAUUGCGAGACUCCCUGUUUCUGGCCUUUAUGACAAAUAUCAGCAGGUUGGAACGCGAAGAAGACGCUCUUUCUAUACUCCCCCACCUCGUUUGACUAGGGCAACACCGCCAGUUGCUAGGACUAGGCCGCUCCCCUCCAGGACCGCGAUUGGAGAUGCACCGCUAAUGGGCGUUCCGCAGAGGCUUCUUACUGAGUUGUUUCUUCUUCGUAACCGGGUGCAAGACAUGGCAGCUCAGCGUGACUUAUUGAUUUGGCAGGUGAGAGCUUCGGCCAGAUUGGAGCUUAUACGGAGUGGCUGGAAGGAAGAACAGAACGCUGGGAUCCCGAAGAAGAAUAUCAUCGGCAUCUGCUUUCUUCUGAAGGAUCAGAUCAUCACUUUGGAGGGUGCCCUCAAGUAGGUUCGAGGUCCGCUGCGGAGUCUCGAGUCUCAGCCGGUCCACCUUUCUAGAUGUUUGUUGCUUGUUGUCGAAUCUGUUUUUCUUUGAAUAAUGGCUUCUUGUGGUUCGAUCCUCCUAUUUUUCUUUCUUGAACCGAGGGAUCCAUAAAUCGGGAUCCUAAUGCAUGUAUCAAUAUGAAUCCGUUAUGAAUCGAUAUUAUUACAUUCCAA